rnacentral:lncRNA from 1 species
GUCCAAAAAGAAAUAAUAAUAGAUCUAGAAAUGCACAAUUAAUAGAGGAUGUGAAUGAGAAUUUGAUAAAUGUAGAUGAAUAUAUGUCAGAUAAUGAAAGUAUAUACUCUAUCGAAAGUAUGGAAGUUUUUGAAGAAGAAAAGGAUAAUUCUGAUUCUUCAGACUCUGGAGAAGACGAAUUUAUAAAUGAAAUAGGACUAGAA